GACGAACGCUGGCGGCGUGCUUAACACAUGCAAGUCGAACGGACCGGCCCUGCUUUUGUGGGGUGCUCGAGUGGGGAAGGGGUAAGUAACACUUGAGUAACCUGCACUUGACUCUGGGAUAACUUUAGGAAACGGGGGCGAAUACCAGAUAGGAGCUCCUGCUGCAUGGUGGGGGUUGGAAAGGUUCGGCUGGUGGAGGUGGACUCGCGGCUAAUGAGCUGGUGGGUGGGGGAUGGGUGUACCAGGGCUUUGACGGGUAGCCGGCCUGAGAGGGGGACCGGCCACAUUGGGACUGAGAUACGGCGCAGACUCGUACGGGAGGCAGCAGUCGGGAGUCUUGCGCAAUGAGCCGAAGCCAGAUGCAGAAACGUCGCGAGCGUAAAGACGGCCUGCGAGUUGUAAACCGCUUUCGCCUGUGACGAAGCGUGAGUGACGGUAAUGAGUAAAGAAGCACCGGCUAACUACGUG
rnacentral:rRNA from 1 species